GGUUUUGCCUUCGAGGAGGGGUGCCCAGUGGUGAUGCCCAGGAGAGGGAAUGGAAACCUGGAGCUGGGAGCGAGGUUGGAGCUGUAAGAUCCAAGACCCAGGGAGACAAGAGGACCCUGGGGACAAAUAGGAACAGCUGAGCAAGGGGAGGAGACAGGUUUCUGCAGACUCUACAUUUUGGAGAGAAACAGAAAAGAAUGUCCCCAAGUCUCCUUUGCCCUGCGAUGCUGGGGCAGAUUGGCAAGGUCCCAAGAGAAGCACAAUGGUAACCGACGCUGCCCUUGGCUGAACUUCUUCUGUUAAAUCCUUCGGAUGGAUGCUGGAAUCGACCUUGAUCUCUAGUUCGACUCCCGUGCAACGUGUUGAGGAGGAGCCACCUCCUCCAAGCACCUAAAGCCGACCCAGAAACGCCUCCCAAUCCCUCCACACCGCGGCUCCCGGGAUCCGAAGCUGGGGAGCUGCUUCUGUCCAAUCAGGCUUUGUAUCCCGGGACGCUUCCGGUUAUGGCGUCAUUAUGCAGCCAGGGAUGAGACAGGAGCCUAUCUGAUUGACAGAGACCCCACCU
rnacentral:sRNA from 1 species